ACGGACGGACGGACGGACGGACGGACGGAUGGAUGGACGGACGGACGGGCGGACGGACGGAUUUCAGACCCAUCAACCGGGAAGUUCAGAAGGCUUCAUUGAUAUCCAGCCUAUCUUUUGUAUGGCCAAGAAGAGAAAGGAGCAGCCAUCUUCUCAACAACAUUAAUUUUCUCCCUUAAGGUUUUCUAAACUGUUUUUAACAUUUUAACACAAGCUUAUGUUUGCCAGACAGACAAGAUAUUAUAGCCCUGAAGCUGCUGCCAGUACUCCACCCUGUUCCACCUUACACAUUUGGGAGAAGAGUUUCAGAUCCAUCAACCUGGAAGUUCAGAUGUUUUCAUUGAUAUCCAGCCUUUGGAACAAACCUGGUGGCACAUCUACGAAAUGCGACAACCCAUAUGUCUUCAUGCAUGGAGACAGGCAAAAAUGCUAAAGUGUCAUUAAAAAUUAUCCUUGUUUAAUGGCUGAAA